UUCUGAAUCACUUAAUUUCCCUUAAGUUGAAUAGAUGACAUGUUUGGCCUUCAGACGGUGUGGAUUAUGAAAAGUCAAGCACUCUAACACUUGGCAGCAGAGGCUUCAUGGAAUACCUACUCCCCACCUCUGCCAAUAACAUUUUUAAGGAGAUUCGGUUUGAUUAAACUAUACAAGGUAAAUAAUGAAUCCAGCCUGCCCAGGAUAUAUCAGGUUGCAUAGUGUGAUGAAACACAUACCAUCCUGAAUGUUCUUCCAAAAGAACAUGUACAGAAAAUGCUGUCCUUCUGCCAGAAUACAGGCUCCUUGCCAACCCCCACCACUCUCCACCUUGAGACCAAACACUCAGCAAGCUGAAGCUUGCAGGCCACGGUGACUGGCUCCAUGCUGCCUUGGGAAGCCCUACAUGACCUCUACAUGGUCCUUCUUCAGUAUGUGAAGUACAGAGGCAACACCAGGACAUUUUGAAGGGCAAAAGAAGGUUCAAUGGGGCAAUUUCCAAGGCAUCUUGCUCCACUGCUGGUAAGCAAUUAGCAGGCUUUCUACAGGGACUUCUCAAAAGAGGAUCCAGAAGGCAGGCUCAGCAUUGCAGCCUGGCUGCAGGCCACAGUGUGGCAGACGCAUGUAUUCAUGGGCAUGUCAAAUACAUCACUUCAAUACGAAAUUCAUAGGCCCAACAUUCAUCUGCGAGAUUGAACACUGGGUAGCUCAAAAGCUAGUCUUCUGAAAGCAUCCUACAAAACACCCGAAGUUGCCGUUCCAGAAUUGCUAUAAUUUCACGACUGUGCAAGCUGUACUAGUAGUACACAGGCAAAGGGAUAGAAAAAAGAUUAUAUUAAUGCUCAAGGGGGAAAAGCAAGAUUAUAAAGGACUUAGCAGAGCUAUGUUCUGAUAAUAAACCAAGAGCAUUUAGGACCCAACCUAGAAAAAAAUGGAUUUACAGCCGAAGUCUUUCCUGUUUGGGGCUACAGCAUCAUUCUGUCAUUCUAACCACAUUUAUCCUGAACCUCCCCCCACCACCCGCUGCCCAUGUGCUGGCCACCGUGCUGGGAUCAACAAAACUGAAUGAGACACAGGACCUGAUACUGGGGAGCUGACCAUCUAGCAGGUGACGUAUGGAUGGAUGAAGCAUCUUAGGACAUCUAAAGAAAGAGAUCACUCCUCCAUACUGAUCCUAAAGUUGACCUCCAGAUAACAUUCUGUCACAUGCAUGUGCACCAGAGAUGGGGAGAACACACAGAAUGGGAAGAACCACAACUGUUUAGGUGCAUGAAUUCUACAAUUUGUAAAAACUCAUUGUUUUUCACCUAGUAUAUGUAAGAAUUGAAUAAUAACACAGAGAAAUAAAUUCUAGCAUUAAAGAAUAAACCAGAAAUCUCCUUAAAGGAACACAAGUAACAAAGCCUGGCAGGGGUGGGAAACAGCAGAAAUUACCACAUUUUGCUUGGAUCUUGAAAAUUGUGAAUUCUCAGUGAAGUCCAAUUUUCACUUUUUAAUAAUGGAGCUCUAUAACAUCUUAAAACUCUGGGUUUAUGUAUUUUUAUUAUCAACUCUAUAAAUUCAAUAAAGAAGUGGAGUAAAGGUUCAGGACAAGAAGAAGGAGAAAAGAACAGUUAAAAAUUUGGGAAAUACUAGCACUUCAUUCUUUACCAAGUUGUCACUCUAUCACUGCAAGCGUGAGGAUUGGUGAAAAGUAUUAAGCAGACUAAGAUUGCACCCCAGAGAGCCCAGGCUUAUACAACCAGCACACUUCCCCCACUAACUGACAUACUCAACUAAUAACUACUGAAUGUUGCCCAUUGGCCAGCCGCAUCCAACCCUUAUCCCACUGCAUCCUCAAAUCUGCCACCUUACAGAUGAAGAAAUGGAAAUGUAAACAAGUUAGGUGACUAAGAACAGAGUGUAAUGAGCAUCGUGGUUGACUCCCUGCCAUUCAUGCACAUCAUGCUAAUAUAAAGUAAUCAGGCUACAUGAUCCCCAGCCAAGAAUGAGUUCAAGAAUAUUCCUGGGACAUAUUUCUGCUGGAAGUCUCCCAGGGAAAGUUUCCCUUUCCUGAGAGCGGGCUCCCCAGUCAGAGAUCUCUCUCUUCUGGUCUAGCAACAAUGUGAAUGCAUUCUGCUCCCGAGGAGAAUAACACCGAGGAUGGCAAACAGGCAAGGGGGAAAGAUGGCAAGCGUCCUUGAUGACACCACUUAGCUGCCAACCCCACCAACCCACAGCUAGCCCAACUUCUGGACUUCGUGUUAUGAGAUAAUAAAUUUCCUAAGCAUCUGUGCUGGGAUGAGUCAGGUUCUCUUUCAUUUUCAUCAAAAGCAUCUUGGCUGAUACAAAAAGCCAGGAUCCAAACCCAGGUCUGUGUGAUUACCAAGAACCUACUCAUUCCAAGAGUUUUCUAGUCUGUCUCUGGUAUGCAUAAAGUCCCGAAGGGUUUCCAAGUCAACAGCUGCAGUGGUCCUGGAGUCAGACAGACUUGGACUAAAUCCCAGAUCUGCCACUAAUUAGCUGGGUGAUUGUGGGCAAAUUACCUCUCCUUUUUAUGCCUGUUACCUCAUCUGAAAAAUGGGGAUAAUCAUUGCACCUGCCACAAAGAGCUGUUUGAAGACCAAAGGAAAUUUCCACACAGUCGGUGCUCAGUGAUCAUUAGUUUUCAUGAGCAGGGGAACUGAAUGAUUUUUGGUGGCUAGAUUCUUUUGAUCAGAAUCUUUGUAAUGUUUUGAAUAGAGUAACAUUUACUUUCUCCUGACAUAUCACAUCUAUGCCAAAAUAAAAAUACAAUGUGGCCAGGCGCGGUGGCUCACACCUGUAAUCCCAGCACUUUGGGAGGCCGAGGUGGGUGGAUCACCUGAGGUCAGGAGUUCGAGACCAGCCUGGCCAACAUGGUGAAACCCCGUCUCCAUUAAAAAUACAAAAAUUUGUUGGGCAUGGUGGCAAUCUGUAAUCCCAGCUACUCAGGAGGCUGAGGCAGGAGAAUCGCUUGAACCUGGGAGGCGGAGGUUGCAGUGAGCCGAGAUUGUGCUAUUGCACUCCAGCUGGGCAACAGAGCGAGGCUCCAUCUCAAAAAAAAAAAAAAUGUUUUCUUAAUGUUUGGCCUUGUCUGAGCUUUUGGCUUUUUAAUUAGAAAAUGCCUCAUUCCUUAUUGAAAGAACACAUCAUUCAAAAAAAUAUUUGAAAUGUCACCCAUAGUAUCAUGCUACCUAAUUAAACAAUUUUUGUUUUUUGAUAUUACCUCUGGCAUGUAAAAUGCACAUACCUACAAUUAUAGUGAACAUACUGUUUUGCUUCCUAUUAUUUUCACUUAAAUUAUAGCAUAUAUUGACAUGUUCUUUAUAAUUAUUUGCCUUAAUAGCUUUAUAAGAUUGAUAUAAUUUACUAUAUAUUCCCCCAGGAUUAAUAUUUUUGACAUAAAUUGCUUUCUUAUUUUUUGUCUUAGAGAUGACGCAGCAGUGAUCAUUUUGGCUUAUAUAUUUUGUUUUCUGUGCAUUAUUUCCUAAAGAGAAAAUUCCUAGGCAUGGAAUUCUGGGUCUAGGGCUAUGAAUUGUCUUAGUGCCUCCUGCUACAUAAUUCUCUCCAAAAGGAAUGUUCCAGUUUGUCAUGUGAACUUAAUCUUAACUACUCAAGACUGAAAUUGAGUUCCUCUAAGCAGUUACUUGGUUUGAAAUAUCACAUGAGCCUUUAUACUUUGGGGAAAUCAGUAUUUUGAUUGCCUUGCCAUGGGUUUCAAGCUUUAUAAGUGAAAUUCUGCUUUCUUCACUUGAGGGACUAAAAGUUCCCUCUUGAACCAAUCAGUCUUAUUUUUCAAAGGCUGUGAACUUUUAAAAGUCUGUCUGGUUUUAUCUCCCUAUUUUUCUUCAUGACUCUGACUUAAUUAUCAUAGACCCCCAAGGAUGCCUAAAUGCCUCAAGGACACCAUUUUAAAUGGAUGAUCAAACCCAACUUCCUACUUCUCUGUGAGAGGCACAUUUCUAAUCUGGGAGUGAGUAGUACAAUCACUCUGUCCAGACGGAGUAACACCGGUUUCCUAUAGCAAAAGCCUAGGUCCUUGGAAAACCACUGACUGCUUCAUGAAUUCCUUGGACAUUAAUUGGUGAAGUAACUAAGAAAAAUGCACCCCACACAAAGUUUAUUGUGGACCCCUCCUCAUUCUCCCAUGCAGCAAAAACAACUAAGCUUCUUUUCCCUUUGAGCAGGACAGUGGGUUUGGCUGUGCCAGGAUGAGUCUCCCGGGGGUAGAGAAAGCCUGAGUAUUUUUCUCUGGUGCUAAAUUUACCUGACUCCAGGGCAGAUGCCUCCAAGUCAUAGGCAAGGGGGUUAACACACUUGGAUGCUCCUAAAGGGACUUUGUCCAGCCUGCUGUGAGGUCUUUCCACCUUCUCAUGUUUCUAACAUGACCAUAAAAUCAAAUCUAAAUGCAAACAUUAAAAUGCAAGGCACUAUGACUAGGUCUAGGGUAGUCAUUCAAGUGAUGUGGAGCAGGCUUAUGUUUUUUUCUCCCUCCAGAUUAUCAUAGACAUGGGAACACAACAUUUAAACGCCCUGGUAGAAUUUCAAAAGUAUGUCUAGAGAUCCUAAUGGAGUCACAAACCCCAGAUUAUGACACACAUCAAGUUCAAGGGUCUAGAAACUUUUUCUGGAAAAGGUCAGAUAGUAAAUAAUUUAGACUUUGGGGGCCAUAUGGUCUUUGUUCUAACCAAUUCUACCAGCAUGCAAGCAGCCAUAGGCAUUUGGUAAGCAAAUGGGGCACAGAAUUUUUUAUUUCUUGUAGAGACAGGGUCUUGCUAUGUUGCCCAGCCAUGUUCCAAUAAAACUUUAUUAACAAACACAAGCACUGGAUUUGGCCUGAAGGCCAUAGUUUGCCAAUCCCUACUCUACUUACUGUGUGAAUAAUAAGAUGGGAAGACCUCCUGACUAUCAGCUCUGUAUUCUUCCAAUUUUCAGUUUGUGUUUGGUUCACAUCUUCAAUGUAUGUCUUUAUCAUGGGAUUUAGAAAGUGGAUGUUCAUUCAACCAGGCAUAUAAGAUUUUUCGUUGCCUACAGUUCUGCUCUUAAUUAGCCCUAUCUCCAUUAAGUAUGACUCAAGACUACAUUUCUUGAUAACGUAGAUGAAAUUGGUUAAGAAAAUUAAAAACUGGAAAGAGACAGGCAAUACAAAUCAGUUUUCAAGAAUUUGUGAUGAGCAAUUGAAUCCAGCCUUUUCUUUGAGAUGUGAGCAGACUCUGUUUUGAAUGGCUUCUCUGCGGAUAAGUAGACUUGAAAGCAGGGAAGCUGUCUGAUGCAGCAGAGAGGUUGUGAUGUUGAGGUAAUUAUUGAUGCCACCAAUAUCUGCCUGUGUGACCUUUCCUUGCACAAGUUAUUUAAUUUCCCUGGGAUUUGGUUUCCCCUUAUAUAAAGUAAGGGAUUUGGAUUAGAUGAAUUGGAUUAGAUGAGUCCUAAAUCUGCUCAAGCUUUGAACAUUUAAAAUUUUGUAUCAAGCAAUCUAUGCUGAGAGCUUUACAACAUAUCAGAAAGCAAGCGAUUUAGAGAGAGUUCUGCCUCUUGUGAAGCUCAAAUGCACAUCCUACGAAGGCUUCUCACUUUGGUUUUCCCUAAAACCAGGACAUUUUAGUCAUCUUAGGAAUCUCAAUUAUUAUGAAAAGUUUCCCAACUUAACAGGGACAGAUUUUCAUAAACAUAGAAGGGUGGGGGUGUCAGAAAACUUUACUAACAGAAGGUACUUCAAAUGGAGAAAUAUAGUGGGUGUUUUAGUCAAGGUUAUCCAGGAAAACAGAACCAAUAGAAUAUAUAGAGAGAGACAUAUAUAAGAAGAGAUGUAGAAAUUGGUUCAUGCAAUUAUGGAGACCAAGAAGCUCCGUGAUCUACCACUGCAAGCUGAAGACCAGGAAAGCUGGUGGCAUAACUCAGUCAGAAGGCCUGAGAGUAGGGGGCGAGGAGGUGAGAAAGAGGAUGGUAAUAGUGUAAGUCCCUGUCUGAGUCCAAAAGACGGAUGUCUCAGCUCAAGCAGAGAGAGCAAAUUGGCCCCUUCUUCACCUUUUUGUUCUAUUCAGGCCCUCAAAUAAUUGGAAAAUGCCCAGGCAUGGUGGAGGGCCAUCUGCUUUAUUUUGUUCACCAAGUCAAAUGCUAAUUUCUUCCCAAAAUACCCUCACCGACUCACCAGGAAUAAUGUUUUACCAGCUAUCUGGGCAUCCCUUAGCCCAGUCAAGUUAACACACAAAAUUAACCAUCAUGGUGGAAGGAUGGAGGCAUCACCCUACAGCCAUAGUUCUGAAUCCUGUUUUGGUUUGUACCAGUCUCCAAUGGUUCAUUAACAGUAAAUACUAUGGCAAAUAUGCAAUGAAGAUUUUUUCAUUAAAUAUUUAAAUUUUAGCAUGGCAUUUGAUUUAUACUUUUCAAUUGAUUGGUCCUUCACAACCAUGGAUUCAUAGUUUAAAAUGAGGUCAUGUCAAAAUGGAAGAAUAGUGACUAUGGUAAACACAAUGACUCAGACUAAUCCAAGGAUUCAUAUUGACAAGUGGGCUAUAAAAAUGUAGAUACAUCAGCCUACCAUUUAGCCCAAUAUUAGCAAUUUAGUUUCAGCAAAACAUCACCUAACACAUGAAAUCAGUGUUGUUAACUUGAAUGUUAUUGUUGGUGUUGUCUUGUUUGUAUUUAAUUAGUGCAUUUUUAAUGGUUCUAUAAUAAACAUAACCAUAAGAAAUGUAUGGCUACUUUCAUAUUUGUGCAUUUUUAUGUAAUGCUAUAAUAAAAAUAAUUUAAAUCAAAA
rnacentral:lncRNA from 1 species